CCUACGGGCGGCAGCAGUGAGGAAUAUUGGUCAAUGGGCGGAAGCCUGACGCAGCAACGCAGCGUGAACGAGACGCCCUUCGGGGUGUAAAGUUCUGUCAGUGGGGACGAAAGAUGACGGUACCCACAGAGGAAGCACCGGCUAACGCCGUGACAGAAGCCGCGGUAAUACGGAGGGUGCCAGCGUUGUCCGGAAUCAUUGGGCGUAAAGAGUUCGUAGGCGGUAUGUUAAGUCUGGUGUUAAAUGCAGAAGCUCAACUUCUGUUCGGCACUGGAUACUGGCAAACUAGAAUGCGGUAGAGGUAAAGGGAAUUCCUGGUGUAGCGGUGAAAUGCUUAGAUAUCAGGAGGAACAUCGAUGGCGUAAGCGCUUUACUGGGCCGUAAUUGACGCUGAGGAACGAAAGCCAGGGUAGCAAAUGGGAUUAGAUACCCGGGUAGUC
rnacentral:rRNA from 1 species